GUCCCUUGGAUGACCAAGGGUAAUUCAGUAAAUGUGCCUUUGGUCCUCCAGGGGUACUUUAGGUAUGCUAUAGCACACUACAACAUUCUGGAAUGACCGAAAAAAAAAACUCUUGAAGCAUCCAUCUUCCCUCUUUGGCAUUCCAAAACCCAAAGUAAAAACAGACGCUGGAAACAUCUGCUCUUGAGCUCUCUGUUUGUUACGAUUUUAGGUUCUUGAAAGUGAAAGUUGCUCGAGAUGGGAAAAAAGGGACACUACUUCGACUCUAAGAGAUGGGAUUUUUUGCUGAAGCAGUGCCAGUUCAUAUCUUUCAUUUCGUAUCAUGUGAGCUUUUCUAUGUUUAUAAUCUGAAGAUUAUACUUGCCCUUUUUCUGGGGAUGAUGAGUUAAACGAAUUGUCUAAUGUGUCUUGCAACACAAAUUACCUAUUUUGCAAGACCUCAAUGGUAAAUAUUUUUGUCAAAUAUUGGGUGGCUCUCUAAAGCUUCAAGGCAUUACUCAACGAACUCGAAAAAUACAGAUCAAAUCUGGCAUGACAAGGUACUCCCAGACGAGCUGAAGUUAUUACAGAAGAUGAUCCAGCGGAGUUGGCAAGCUCCAUUUGCUCCUGGAGUGCUGCCGAGUCAGAGUUUGUAUGUUAUGACUUCUGGACUUAUGUUAGAGACUUUGCAGACAGUGUCGUGGGUAUUGGUUGUCAGUCUGUAUGCGGCUUCGUCAGCCGAUAUGUCGGUUCACAAGUUUCUCUCUGUGUUAGGGACGAAAAUAAAAGGCUUGUUUCUUACUUGGAAGUUAUGUUUUCACAUUCCAGAGCCUAUAGGAUGGUUGUGGUAUGAUGUUCUUACAUGACUCUCAUAUUGGUACUUGAUUCUUGAUCCACUACCGAGUAAUAUGAACUAUGCUCUUUUUAAGGCAUCAAUCUAUUGGUAAAAUUGCUGCCUAUAUACUGAAAAUGUGUUGAGUAAACUGAUUAAUUCAUCAUGAUAUUGGAGAUUAAUCAGUAUAUAGAUUUUUAGUGGCAAUUUAAUAUGAUUUCUUGUCAGUAAAAUGUACAAGAAACCUGCAGCUUAUAUAAGUAAAGAUAAACAACAAUGGGAUUAAUGGAUAGAUUGCCUUAGCGAGUUUCCUGAAGUACUAAAGAUAAUAAAGAGCUACCUGAUCAUCUGUAAAUGUACCGCCAGUAUAUGUAACAGCAGUAUAAUACGGUGAGAGUCUCUGUAUAAUUGACACUCCCUUAAGUUAAUUUCUCCUUUCUCAACUAUAUGAAGUACUAAUUAGUGCACAAAUGAACCAAUUUUUAGUCAUUUUUUUAUUGCCAUUGCCCUUGAUCCUUCUAUUAGGUUGCAGCGAAAACUUCAAGCCAGUUCAUUCUUGCAUUUACAUUUAUAUUCAAAGUCUUUGUGGAUGCUUCUCUGCUGAGUUGAACCAUUACAACUAUUUCUUUUUAGUGUUUCAUUCCUAUUUUGCGUCAUCUUUCUUUACGCUUUCUCAGUUUCUCGAUGCAUCUGCCCUCUCUCACAAAAGGUUAGAUAUUUCUUCUGUUAUCUCCAUUUGGGUCUCCUUGACUUUAUUUGUUUUUUACUCCUUUGUUUUAUGUGUUAAUCCUUGAUUUAUAAGUGAUUUAUAUUUAUAAAGAGGUAUUAACUAGCCACAAUUCGGAAGAGACUCGUACCAGUCCAACCUGAACAGAGCUAUUUUAAGGUUUAGAAGCUUCACGCUUUGUUGUUUGCCUCUCUCCAAAAAGGAUCCGACAUGGGUGCGGCAGCAUUUUUGGAGAGUCCGAGCAACUUAGGCACUUGCAUUAUCAAUGCUCUCAAGCAGAUAAAAGUGUAAUCGUUGCCCCUUUUAUAGAAUUUGAGUGGUAAAUCCAAGCAUUUUACAUAGAACUCUUAGAUUCGCAGCUUCACUACAGGGGAAUUGCUUAGUUUUGUUAGCAAAAUGUUUGACCCCACGAAGAAAGAUAUGAAAGGGUUGAAUUUCACUAUUAUUAUCACUACUAUUAUUUUGAUAACAAUGGUUUCUUCAUGUAGUGAUUAAGGAACUUCUGUUUGCUAAAUUUAGUCCUAUGGAAACGAGAUGUUAUAUUGUUACUUCUUGUGAAGAAUUAUUUCUCAACUAAGUGUACUUCCAUAGUUUUGAACCUUUGAAGAACUUACUACUCUCUUAGGAGGUACUGCUUAAAGCAACAAUUUGAACUAGAACGUACCUCACAUAAUGGAACUUUUUUGUGUCAACAACUUGCUGUCAAGAUUCUCUCAUGUAUGAAGCAGAGGCUACACAUAGCCUUCUCAUAAGAGGCCUUUCCUCGUUGCUUGUGAUGAAGCUAUCUGCUAUUAUAAAGGAUUUUAAGUGUAUCAUAUUUGUUUAAUGCUUAAUUUCAUAUUAACUAUUUGUGAGCAAAGAAUUUAGGUUUUUAGUUGAUAUGGUAUGCUGGUGUUUCACUUGAUUUCAUUUCUUUUUUCAGAUUCUAGAAAUCAGCUGCCAAUAUUCAAAAUCCAAGCUAUUGCAACAUAUCUCAUACAUAUAAUUGAGCCACUACAAUCUUUGUUUUUGCCUUUCUAACAAGCUCCUAUACAAACUUUGUUUCACAAAUGAAUGUAAAAUUGUAUGAAGCAUAUUAUGUUAGUGUUUAGUUUAAUCAUGUUUUCUUUA